AUUAUAUUAUACAAUUUAAAGCGCAUUUCUGUUUAUGCACGCGAACCCGUCUAACGUUAUUGUUAUUUCGCAGUUAUAUAAAGUAGCAAAUUAUCGUUCCUGAAUAGGUGGCGCCGUGGUAGCCGAUCCUGUUCUUGAACUUCCGGUUUCUGCACUGUGCAACUAUUACAGUUGCAUUUUAAUUAACGAUGCCAAGUACUUGUUGUUGUGUACCUGGAUGUCAUUUAAGAGGAGGACAUGCAUUUCCAAAUGACUUAAAAAGAAGGAAAAGUUGGAUCAACGCCAUGGCCCAUACGCAGAUUGGACGAGAACACGGUGAAAUCAUGGAGUCCAUCUCAAUCAGCUGUUGUUUGCAAGGCACAUUUUACUGAAAAAGACUACGUGCAGGAAACUAUUCCUGAGCGCAAACCCUCCAUACAGAGACUUAAGUCUACUGCCAUUUCCAGCCUAUUUUCCUGGAUCAAGCAAGAGACUGAAUCGUCCGCAAAAAGAAAAAUCAGGGCAGUUUCCUGUGAAAACAAAAGAACUAAACUUGAUGAAUAUUGUAGUAGAAAUCUAGAGGAAAGUUUUGAUUGUAAAGUUGGUUUUCCUGAAGAAGUCAUUCAUACUGCAGACAGGAUUUAUGACUGUCCACCACCAACUGCCGAGCUAAUGUUGAGCUUCACAGAUGGAAUUACGCAAACACCAUCAAUGCCUAUAUUUUCAGCAGAGAAUUUUGAAAUGAAGACACGUGACACAGCCAUGCAUUUUUAUACCAGUUUAGAGUUGUAUACUAAAUUUUUAUUUGUUUUGACCACACUUGGUCCAGCAGCACAUUGUUUGAGAUACAUAUAUUUUCAAAUUGAUAGGGUGUCAUUUGAAAAUCAUUUUUUUUAGAUUCUAGAUUGAAACUAGUGUUAAGAAUAUUGUGUAAACAUGGAUUGUUUUUA